rnacentral:lncRNA from 1 species
UGGAAGGAAUAAAAGCCUAUAUAAACUAGGCUUGAUAAUGAGCAUGCACUUCAAACAGGGCCCUUUGCACUGAUAAUUCUUUUUUUCCUGUCACUAUCAUAAUUUUUCAGAAUGAUGAUGUUACUGUUACAAGUAUAUAAUGUAAGUGAGGUUUAAAGGUGGAAAACUUAUCUCAGAAUUGUGUUUAAUGGCUACAGGCAAACUACUGCUAGGAGCAUGUGCUUGUAAUCAGUAAACUCAACCAUGUCUUAAGGUGUCAUUUGUCAUACUGCUUUGGAAAGAGUACCUAUAUGGCAUAUGAGGUGAAGUUUUGCCUCUUGUUCAGUUGCCAUUUUAAUGAAGGAGAAGAAAGGUCAGUCUGAUCUUCAUCCAUGGUUAGACUGAAUUUCAGACUCUGUCUAGUAGAUAUUUUACAUUAUUGAGCCUCUACAUUUCAGCGUUUUCCAGAGUUGUAUAUAUUCUUGUAUUAUAGUGCUAUACUAGCAAAUCUACAAAAGGUGAAAAUGAGGCAGUAUUGUUAUGUUUAACUGGAAAUGUCUGUGGUAUAAGUUGAAGCAUAGUUUUGGGGGUUGAUGUAUUGUUAUAUUUCCUGUAUUUUGUCAGAAUAGUUUUUUUUAUAGGAUUUCAGUUCUUUGGAGUGGUAAUUGCUAUAGAUCUAUUUUGAAAUUGUAAUGAGUAUUUAGAGGGACCAGGGAAAAUGUAUCUGCAUUUGGCUGUUCUUUUGGCCGAAGAAUUUUCAGAGAUGAUGUCCCCAAAUGAGGUUUCAUAUGUGAACACUUUGAAACAAAAACGAUAUUGUGAAAUAGUUCUACUUGUAGCAGCUACACAUUCUGUUAGAGCAGGGCAUACACUGUCUGAGUAAAUGUUAUUUUCUGUACAGCAGCGGCCUAUAGUUAUGCUGUAGCAAUCAAACCUCACAACAUAAUUGUUGAAUAUUAUCUAAUUAUUUAUGAAAUCUUCAACAAAUAUAUUAAUCCACAAUGAAAUAAGUGAGAAUUCAAAAUGAGAUGUACUCUUGCAGAGAGUGUUUUUUACAUAGGAUGUCUACGGGACUUUUCUCCAAAGGAGGAAUUAGAGCUCCUACGUUUUUCACUAUUCUUAAUGUUUUUACACAGACUUUAACUUUGCCAAGAAAAUAAAUAUUUUUAUAUAUCCACAGAUAUAUGUCUGCACAUAUACGUGAGUUUCAAUAUGUAUAUAUUUAUGUAGUCAUCUCAGUUACUAGUCCAAUCUUACCUAUCGAAUGUUUGCCUUAAACUGUGACAAAGAUAUCAGUAAUGAACACUUCAGUAACAAUUUCACCUUUAUGCUUUGAAGUUUACACUCUUUCAGAGUUACUGGAAGCUGUGGGACUAUAAUCUUUUUGAUUAAAACAAAAAUAGAAAAAGUUCUGCUCUUUAUAAAAUUACACAUUUUGUCUAGGAUGACCUAAUGCUUGUACAUAGAAAAGAGUCACAAUUUGUAUAGUUGCUAUUCUAGUCAGGAUCUCAAACUUCUAGAUGUGUUUUAUUCAGAGAGGCAGUGUUUGCUAUAGUAAUUCCCGCUCCAGGCAAAAGCACAAAAAAA